rnacentral:rRNA from 1 species
CAGUCGCCGCGGGAAUACGGGGGGGGCAAGUGUUAUUCGGAAUGACUGGGCGUAAAGGGCACGUAGGCGGUGAAAAGGGUGGAAAGUGAAAGUCGCCAAAACACUGGCGGGGUGCUUUCUUGACCAUUUCACUUGAGUGAGAUAGGGGAGAGUGGAAUUUCGUGUGGAGGGAUCAAAUCCUAAGAUAUACGAAGGAACGCCAACCGCGAAGGCAGCUCUCUGGGUCCCCACUGACGCUGGGGUGCGAAAGCAUGGGGAGCAAACAGGAUCAGAGACCCCCGUAGUCCCUGUCUCUUAACAC